UACGGAGGGUGCGAGCGUUGUCCGGAAUCACUGGGCGUAAAGGGCGCGUAGGCGGCGCGGGUAGUCAACGGUGAAAAGCUUGGGGGCUCAACCCCGAGUCGGCCGUCGAUACUCCCGUGCUUGAGCACUGUAGAGGCAGGUGGAAUUCCGGGGUGUAGCGGUGGAAUGCGUAGAGAUCCGGAAGAACACCGGUGGCGAAGGCGGCCUGCUGGGCAGUAGCUGACGCUGAGGCGCGACAGCGUGGGGGAGCAAA
rnacentral:rRNA from 1 species